UGAGCACGAGCCGGAAAUGGAAAAGCCGGUACAAGCGUAUAGCAGUCAUGCAGGCAAAACCGCAUGAAAAAUGUAAAGCGUUAUGUGGACCGAACAUUAGUAGAGAAGCGUGUGAGCCAGCUGCCAAGAAAAGCCGCUAUUGCUUCAUAAGUACCCGUACCGUAAACCGACACAGGUGGAUGAGGAGAGAAUCCUAAGGCCGGCGGGAGAAGUGUUGUUAAGGAACUCGGCAAAAUGACUCCGUAACUUCGGGAGAAGGAGUGCCACAGAGAUGUGGCCGCAGAGAAAUGGCCCAAGCAACUGUUUAGCAAAAACACAGGUCUAUGCAAAACCGAAAGGUGAGGUAUAUGGGCUGACGCCUGCCCGGUGCUGGAAGGUUAAGAGGAGAGGUUAGAGCAAUCGAAGCUUUGAAUUUAAGCCCCAGUAAACGGCGGCCGUAACAAUAACGGUCCUAAGGUAGCGAAAUUCCCUGUCGGGUAAGUUCCGACCCGCACGAAAGGCGUAAUGAUUUGGGCACUGUCUCAACAACACACCCGGUGAAAUUGAAAUACCAGUGAAGAUGCUGGUUACCUGCGCCAGGACGGAAAGACCCCAUGGAGCUUUACUCCAGUUUGAUACUGGGAUUCGGUACUGUCUGUACAGGAUAGGUGGGAGGCUAGGAAAUGGUGACGCCAGUUGCCAUGGAGCCAACCUUGGGAUACCACCCUUACAGUACUGGGUUUCUAACCUGCAGCCGUGACCCGGCUGGGGGACAAUGUCUGACGGGGAGUUUGACUGGGGCGGUCGCCUCCGAAAGAGUAUCGGAGGCGCUCAAAGGUUCCCUCAGAACGGUUGGAAACCGUUCGAAAAGUGCAAAGGCAGAAGGGAGCUUGACUGCGACACCGACGGGUGGAGCAGAUACGAAAGUAGGACUUAGUGAUCCGGUGGUAUAAAGUGGGAUUGCCAUCGCUCAACGGAUAAAAGCUACCCUGGGAUAACAGGCUUAUCACUCCCCAGAGUUCACAUCGACGGAGUGGUUUGGCACCUCGAUGUCGGCUCAUCGCAUCCUGGAGCUGUAGCAGGUUCCAAGGGUUGGGCUGUUCGCCCAUUAAAGCGGUACGCGAGCUGGGUUCGGAACGUCGUGAGACAGUUCGGUCCCUAUCCGGCGUGGGCGUAGGAUAUUUGAGAGGAGCUGUCCUUAGUACGAGAGGACCGGGAUGGACAAACCUCUGGUGUAUCUGUUGUUUUACCAAAGGCAUGGCAGAGUAGCUAAGUUUGGCAGGGAUAAACGCUGAAGGCAUCUAAGCGUGAAGCCCCCCUCAAGAUAAGAUAUCCCAUCUUCGGAGUAAGACCCCUUGAAGACUACAAGGUUGAUAGGCUUCAGGUGUAAGUGUGGUAACGCACUCAGCUGAGAAGUACUAAUAGGUCGAGGACUUAUC
rnacentral:rRNA from 1 species